AUACUAAUCAAAUUAUCAAAAAUUAAAUACAGAGCAAGGAUCUCCUCAGGAUCUCAGAUAGGUCUCCUGGUGGCCAGUCUUUCCUUGAGGGGCACAACAGAC